rnacentral:rRNA from 12 species
AAGGGCUGCACUGGAGUGCGAGUACCCACUAGCGUCUGCUCUUGGAAGCUAAGCAGGGCUUUGCCUGGUUAGUGCUUGGAUGGAAGACCAACUUGGAAGACCAGGGGCUGUUAUCC